rnacentral:rRNA from 1 species
CCUACGGGAGGCAGCAGUGGGGAAUAUUGCACAAUGGGGGAAACCCUGAUGCAGCGACGCCGCGUGAGCGAUGAAGUAUUUCGGUAUGUAAAGCUCUAUCAGCAGGGAAGAAAAUGACGGUACCUGACUAAGAAGCCCCGGCUAACUACGUGCCAGCAGCCGCGGUAAUACGUAGGGGGCAAGCGUUCUCCGGAUUUACUGGGUGUAACGGGAGCGUAGACGGGCCUGCAAGCCAGAUGUGAAAGCCCGGGGCUCAACCCCGGGACUGCAUUUGGAACUGUAAGGCGAGAGGGUCGGAGAGGCAGGCGGAAUUCCUAGUGUAGCGGUGAAAUGCGUAGAUAUUAGGAGGAACACCAGUGGCGAAGGCGGCCUGCUGGACGAUGACUGACGUUGAGGCUCGAAAGCGUGGGGAGCAAACAGGAUUAGAUACCCGAGUAGUC